rnacentral:ncRNA from 1 species
AAAAAGGUAGAGUAAAGCUCUGCCUAGUCAUAUCUUCAAUAUGGCAAAACCUUUAAAUAGCGGGAAAGUCUUUAAGACAAAUCUACCAAGUUAAUACAGUAAUGUGAUUAAUGGAACAGGUAAUGACUCGUUGUACGGUAAAAACGAUUUGUAUGAAGAAAUGAAAUAGAUCAUCCGCAGCCAAACACCCAAAACUACUGCUCGUUCAAGUGGAUGGUGCGCAGUUCAUCGACUAAAUGUAGGUUGGUAAAUAAUUAUAUACGACUCAGGGGGACUUUUAAAAAAAGUUUUUAAGAAAAGAUUGGACAAAAAUUAUUUGCUUAAGGUAUAGUCAGGCAUAACCGAAAAGUUAUG